GAGAGGAUGCGAGGGAUUGGGUGAGAAUGACAAAGAUGUGAAUUCAUCAGUGAACAUGGAAAAAACAGUAGUUGAAACAUUAAUUCUCAAUUUCUGUAACAGCAGAUUGAUAGAUGAAGCAUAAAACAAGACCAGAUGCUGUGGUUUCCAGGAUGCACUUGGCUUCCCAUGCUUUAUAACCUGGAGCAUUUAUUGCUGCUCCAUUCCUACAGAUUUCACCUGACUAGGGGAGAAAAAGGAAGGAAAGACAUGGUUCAAAGACAGGAGAUGUGGAAUCAAGCCAUUUUACUGACCGUACGUAUAUUAUUGCCGUGUUGUGAUAGGUCCAUUCCUGAUGUGUCCACCAGAGACCAGUCUCAUCAGGGUGAGUCUCGGUACCCAUAGGAUUCAAGAACAUGGACACUGCAGUCCAACAGACCUGGGUUUGAAUGCAUGAUCUGUUCUUUUUUACUAGCUCUUUCACUUUGGGCCAUUUAUUAAGCUCACUAAGCCGCAACUUCCCCAUUUUUAUGUGGGGACAGAACAGUGUGCAUGCCAUGGAGUUGCAUUGAAAAUUAAAUGAGACAGUAUCAGGAAAGUGCUGAGCUCUAUGCCUGGCAACUAGCAAGUACUCAAUAAACAUGCCAUUGUAAUACUGAUAUUUUUAUUAUACUGUGAAAUGAGGUUCUCUCAUUUCCAGAAGUCUCUAAGGACAAAGAUUCCUUCAUAUCUCCAUAGUAUUUGCAUGAAGACUUCACCUCCCAAAGUUUUAACCAUAGCACCUCGCCUGGGUUCUCUGACUGGUGAAGGGCCACGCCUCUCUCUUUGCCUUCUUGAUUCUCUCAUUCUCACUCUCAACACACCUCUCUGGCCGACUCUUCCUGAUGAGUAGUCAAGAAACCAUUUUUGAUAGUUAUAUAAGACCUAUAAGAUUCCAUCCUUAUGGUCACCAACAAUUAAAUUUAAAAUAUCGAUCAAUCCAUGAAAAUAGCUAUGUGGAUAUUUCUCAGUUCACUGAAGACCAUUAUUGAUAUUGGCUGUUGUUCCCAUCUGUCUAAUAACAGCCAUUUAUUGAGCUUACAGUUCUGGCUCUCAUGGAGUUCUAAAGACUAAAACAUCUUAUAAAAAUGCAAGUCCUCACAGGGCUAUUGAUUUUUUUUAAAGCUAAAGGUUUAUCCUAUAUUUCAUCCCCAUUUAUCAUUUGUUUAGGGAAAACUUCUUCCCUUCGAUUGUUGAGUGGGUUUUGCACAAGAAAAAGAAAUUAGUUCAUUGGGUAAAGGUGGGAUGCUGAGCCAGACUGGAGAUUUUAGAAG
rnacentral:lncRNA from 1 species